CCUACGGGAGGCAGCAGUAAGGAAUAUUGGUCAAUGGACGCAAGUCUGAACCAGCCAUGCCGCGUGAAGGAUGAAGGUCCUCUGGAUUGUAAACUUCUUUUAUAGGGGACGAAACCCGGGAAUUCUUUCCCGAUUGACGGUACCCUAGGAAUAAGCACCGGCUAACUCCGUGCCAGCAGCCGCGGUAAUACGGAGGGUGCAAGCGUUAUCCGGAUUCACUGGGUUUAAAGGGUGCGUAGGAGGGCAGGUAAGUCAGUGGUGAAAUCUGUGGGCUUAACCCACAAACUGCCGUUGAUACUAUCUGUCUUGAAUAUUGUGGAGGUGAGCGGAAUAUGUCAUGUAGCGGUGAAAUGCUUAGAUAUGACAUAGAACACCAAUUGCGAAGGCAGCUCGCUACACAUAUAUUGACUCUGAGGCACGAAAGCGUGGGGAUCAAACAG
rnacentral:rRNA from 1 species